rnacentral:rRNA from 1 species
UACGGAGGGUGCAAGCGUUAUCCGGAUUUACUGGGUUUAAAGGGUGCGUAGGUGGGUCAGUAAGUCAGUGGUGAAAUCUUCAGGCUUAACCUGGAAACUGCCAUUGAUACUAUUGGUCUUGAAUUAUCUGGAGGUAAGCGGAAUAUGUCAUGUAGCGGUGAAAUGCUUAGAUAUGACAUAGAACACCCAUUGCGAAGGCAGCUUACUACGGAUAUAUUGACACUGAGGCACGAAAGCGUGGGGAUCAAACAGG